rnacentral:lncRNA from 1 species
UGGCGGAGUGAAUGUAGAGUCAAUUCGGUUGAGGCGAUGUCGACACGCAAAUUUGAUGUCGGCACUCAUUCAUGUUAAUUGUUCAGUAUUUGCUAUAUCACCUCCAAAAUGUAAAAUUCCACCCAUUUCAUGUUUGUGAUUGUAAGAGAUGGAUUCUUCAAAUAGAUUGCAAAUCAUUUUUUCAUUGUGUUCUUGAAUUAUAACUUUACAAACUUGGAAAAAAUUACAUUUGUUGUGGUUGUUGUAGAGAAGAAAGAAUUCAAUUUCUUUGUCUUAGAGAUCUAGAGAUGUGUUAAAGAUAGGUAU